rnacentral:lncRNA from 1 species
AAUUCCAUGUUUCUAAUUUCAGGAAUUUUAUCAUCCAACGAAUAUAUUAUUUCUUCGUAUCUCUCUUAUCAUAUGAUAGAGAGAUAUAAAUAAAGAGAUAUAUCCGUAAUUGCAUCCAAAAUUUUCUUCCACCUUAGCUUACAUAUCAACUUAAUUAUGAUUACGACAUGACAUUGAUAUGGCUCUAGAACAUUUUUUUUAUAUAUAGUUUUAAUUAAUGAUAAGGACAAAAUAAAGGGUAAAGUGAAUAGUAUCAGGAUUGACUUUUUAGUGUAAAAAUGUGGUUUUUCGUUAAAGUAAACAGUACCGGGUGCUUUUCGUUAAAAUUAUCUAAUAUAAAAGGAUUAUUUCCAAAAG